rnacentral:rRNA from 1 species
GACGAACGCUGGCGGCGUGCUUAACACAUGCAAGUCGAACGGAAAGGCCUGCAGCUUGCUGCGGGUACUCGAGUGGCGAACGGGUGAGUAACACGUGGGUGAUCUGCCUUGCACUUCGGGAUAAGCUUGGGAAACUGGGUCUAAUACCGGAUAGGACAGCUGUUUAGUGUCAGUUGUGGAAAGUUUUUUCGGUGCAAGAUGAGCUCGCGGCCUUUCAGCUUGUUGGUGGGGUAAUGGCCUACCAAGGCGUCGACGGGUAGCCGGCCUGAGAGGGUGUACGGCCACAUUGGGACUGAGAUACGGCCCAGACUCCUACGGGAGGCAGCAGUGGGGAAUAUUGCACAAUGGGCGGAAGCCUGAUGCAGCGACGCCGCGUGGGGGAUGAAGGCCUUCGGGUUGUAAACUCCUUUCGACAGGGACGAAGCUUUUGUGACGGUACCUGUAGAAGAAGCACCGGCUAACUACGUG